CGUUCCCGGACCUUGUACACACCGCCCGUCAAGCGAUGGAAGUUGGGAGGACCUGAAGACAGUUGUUGUGAGACGCUGUUUAGGGUAAACCGAUGACUGGCGCU
rnacentral:rRNA from 1 species